CCGGUCGGUCCUCUCUGCUUUUCUGGCAGCAGAGGAGGAGGACGAAGAGCAGCGGCUGCUCCCACACGCACCUUCCGAUGGAGGGACGGGAUUGGUGAGAGCCCUUCAGGCGCGCGCCAUCAACCCCGCUUUAAUCGUCUUCUUACGCCAGUAGGAGCAGAGCUGUGUCCUGGGGGUGGAGCUAUUCUGGGCGGGACGCCGCGGUCUCCCAAGCGCGCUUUUCAAUUUUGCUCGGCGCAGGAAGAAGAGGGACUGUUGAUCGGCUUGCUGAGGAAGGCAAGAUGGGUCUGGCUGACGAGGUGGCCCCGACACGAGAAGGCAGUAGCACCAUGUGGCUGACGCGGGAACUCGGAGUAUGCCCUCACCUCACUUAAGAUCUCUCUCCAGGCUUCUCUAUUGGUGCACCUCAUCCUUGCGCGGCUACCUACAGGAACAGCGCGGGGACUGAGAGAUCAACGUUUUUAUUCUGUUCCUUCUGAGGUUCCAAGUUCCCCCCUCUUCAUGCUGCUGCAAAAGAAAAGCAUCUCUCGGUUACAGUCUGCUUCAAUUUCCAUGUCAUUCGAUCUUUGGAUUUUCUAAUGUAAAUGCCAGGUUUGCACCUGAGAUCUCCUUGUGUACUGAAGCCAAAUCAGCCUGAUUUAGAGAGAUUAGAGGGAUGUCCAAGCCAGAUCGGGCCGCCUCUGAAUCGCUCUGAACUGAAACUGCAUUCUCUCAAAGGCUCGUGUUUAUGAGGCAACGAGGGAGGAGAUGAGAGUGAGACGGUGGUGGAGUGUAGAGAAAAAAUAAAAUUGUUUCAAAAAUGGACGGUGAUGGAGAAGCAUGGAGUGGAGGGAGAAAGCAGCCGGAGGGCAAGGACAUAAAUGGAGGAGGAGGAGAACUGUGGAGGUACUGCCUGGAAAAGACUUGAUUUUCUGUCAGCUUGGAUUAGGUACGACCAGCUUCUUUCCUCUGUGAAGAACUUUGUGGAGAUAUUUCUCUUAAAAUGGCUUUGAUGUAUUGUCCACCAAAUUAUUUUUGUGUGGAUCUCACUGUCUUUUAUUGUAUUAUUUUUUUCCUGCUUCUCUAAUUUCUUGCAUUCUGCUAAAUGUUGAGAAAGCAGAUUUUACCUGAUAAUUGCCGAGUUAUUUAAUCAUAGAAUGUAUUGCACUGAUAGAUGGAAAUCCUACAGAAUAGCUUACAAUGAGUUUUAUAGUGAGACAAAGAAAACCUUUUCUCCUAUUGAUAUUGAAAUGGAACUUGUUCCUUACAUGCUGGGCAGCACAGUGACAUGGGAAUAUUGCACUAGGAACUGGGGACACUGGAUUAAAAAGUGAGGGUAAAAAAAACACAGUAAAAGGACACUUACUUCCCACAACCAAAGCAAGUACAAUAAUAAUAAAGAACUGCUUCCCAUAGAAUCUUGGUAUAGUCAUCCUUGCUUCGGUGAUGGGCCGGUUAGACUGCAGCAAUGCAGCUACUCUAAAUUGUUCAAAAAAUGGCUGCCAAACUGCUAGCUGUUAUUCUGUGCACUGAUUAUAACUUGCCUGUGGUGGAACUUCUUCAUUGUCUUCCAGUUUAUUUCUGGGUGCAAUUUCGAGGGCUUAUUCUUACCUAUAAAGCCCUAAACAGCCUUGGACCAGGGCUGGGUAUCUGAAGAGCUGCCUCCUCAUCCCACAAGAAACUGCUCACAAGUUAAAAUAAUCAUCUGAGGCUCCAUUCCCACCUUCUGUAGAUGGAGAGACAGGACUUUCUCUGCAAUGGCACAUGAGUUGUGGAAUGCCUUCCCCACACGUUUGUGUCACACUUUUCUUAACAUCUUUUAUCACUCAGGUGAAGAUUUAUUUUCCCAAAACCUUUGGUGGCUCUUAUUUACGGCUGGUUCUACUUAUCUGCUGUGAUGUCCCACUGCAUUUUUUAUUGCUUUUAGGAAUUUUGUAUAAUAAUUAUAUAUAACUUUAUAUAAGUGACCAUACAUUCCUUUGGGCUCCUUUGGGAAGAAGGAAGGGGUAUAAAUUUAAUAAAUAAAAUAAAAUAAUUGAAUAAAAA